rnacentral:lncRNA from 1 species
AAACAGUUAAGAGGGCACCCGCUGUUCACCAGACUAGAAACAUUUGUACUGCCAAAUUCCUUGCUCCAUGCCAGCCCAGGCAGCAAGGGCAGCUGUGGUCAAAGACCUGCCAGGAGAGGGAGGGGGAUGCAACCCUUACAGCCCUGCAAUGAGGUCCCCUUCUGCAGGAAACAGAGGUGUGACUCUUUUCAAUAGAGGAGUCCCAAAGGCUUUAUCCAAACCCACAUACCUAUGCACAGCCCAGCCGCCCACAGCAGGGUGAGAUCCAGAUGAACACCAGCCUUUUCCCUGAGGGGUGAAGAAAAGACAUUCUCCUCUGUCCUGAAAGAGAAAAAAAAUUUCAAGUGAGUGCCCUGCAGAAGGAGAGGCUGCAUACUGAGUUUAGCAUUACUUGUGCUGUUUGAAGAACUAACAGGUUAUUCAGCAUCCAUGAGCUCUGGCCUGACAUAUGAAUGUCUCCUCCAGCCCAGGUUUGAAAAGUGGAAUAGAGAAAGAGGGAAUCAACAAGAGGGACGAGCAAUGUUGUGAGAUGAGCCAAGCAACAUGAGCAGGAUCCAGAAGUGCUAACAGAGGAAAUCAAAGGAAGGAUUAAGUGUAACGUGGGCACAGAGAGAGCUGGCAUUAUUGAGACAGGGAUUUGUGAAGUACAUUCAGACACAAAGUGGUGAGAAGUUGGAGUCAGUUGGUACGUGACUGUUAAAUUCUUGGAACUGCUACUGUUGAAUCAAUUGUUGAAAUUGGUUAUUGUUGAAUAAUGGAAUUGUUAUUUAUUAUCUAGUUACCUGCUCAAGAGUUCCUCUUUGAAGUGUUUACAUGUUAGCACUUAUAUCUGAUCAUUGGAGAAGAGGCUUCUCCAAUGUGAAUGUGAAUGUGAAUGGCUGUGCAGAUAUACUUCCAGCACAUAAAAUACAGAGUAUGAGAAACUGUGACAUUUAGACCUAAAUAAUAUUAGUCGUCUUACUUCUCCCACAGGACCAAUCAAAUCACCUCACUUGAAAGCAAUCCACAAUUAAACACUGUAAACAUAGGAAAAAAACCAACAACAACAACAAAAAAAAAAAAGAAAAAAAAAAAGAAAAAAACAACUUACUUGCUGAAGUGUAUUGGCUGCUUCACUUCUACAAGCUUGCUGAAGAACUGCAAAAACAGGGAAUGGCAGCAUUUAUAUUUCCUACUGACAGAGCCAUGCUUUAUUACCCAAUUACCAUAUGCCAUAGGCCAUGCUCUAGAAUGUGAUCCUCUCCUAAAUCACCCUUUGCCAG